UAAUACAGAGGGUGCAAACGUUGCUCGGAAUUAUUGGGCGUAAAGCGCGUGUAGGCGGCUUGUUAAGUCGGUUGUGAAAACCCAUGGCUCAACCAUGGAAGUGCGUCCGAAACUGGCAAGCUGGAGUCCCGACGAGGGUGGCGGAAUUCCCAGUGUAGAGGUGAAAUUCGUAGAUAUUGGGAGGAACACCGGUGGCGAAGGCGGCCACCUGGGAGGGUACUGACGCUGAGACGCGAAAGCGUGGGGAGCAAACAGGAUUAGAUACCCUGGUAGUCCACGCUGUAAACGAUGAGCACUAGGUGUUGCGGGUAUUGACCCCUGCAGUGCCGACGCUAACGCAUUAAGUGCUCCGCCUGGGGAGUACGGCCGCAAGGCUA
rnacentral:rRNA from 1 species